UCUUCGUGAGUUCCUGAAGUACAGAUACUACAUAGGUAGUGAGUAUGAAGUUUGUAUCUUUAGGUGGGCAAAGAUGUUUUCUAAUAACUUGGCUUAAUCCAGGAGACACUGUGUCCUCUCUUUAGAAGAAAAAUACCAACUUGUCAAUUCAAAGGAAUUUAUUCCAAUUGUUUUCCUCACUCCCUCUUUCCUGUACUGUAGGUGAGCUCAGUUUCUGCAGGUGGGGAUGGGUGUGGUUUUGAAUAUCUUGGCACUGGGGGAGGAGUAUUUGGGCUGAAGACCAUCCUUUGCCUUCUCAGCUCCCGCUUGCAUUGGGGACUUGGACAUGAGUCUCUGUUGAUUCCCUGGGCUUUGCUCUGGCUUCUGAAGGUCCAGCUGUGCGGCGUGUUUUUGCUUUCCUUGGAAAAAUGGGAAAUGAAGGUUGACACGAAUUGCUGAGUACUGAAAUGAAGUCCCACAAGAAUUAAGGCUCCUCAUGACAAUUCUUGGUGUUAGGGAAUUGCUCUUUUGGAAGAUGGUAUAAAUUAUAUCUCAAGUCCCUUCUAAGGGAAAUAUUUCUGUUUGAAUGAACAACUUAUUCAUGUUUGGGGGACACUACUCAGCAUAGGAGCUAAAACAAUACACCUUGAAAAAUUUUUUCAAUUUAAAAUAAUUUAUUAAGUAUUUUAUAACAGACAGAGUGAAAAAUCCCAUUGGGAAGAGUUCUGGAAUCUUUAACAUGUGAAAAGAUGUGUGUAAGAUAAUGAUAAAUAAAAUAUCUCAUCAGGUUGUCAACAGAGAUUUUUGUCUCCACCAUUUCUCUUGCAGAAGCGAUUCCAUAUGUGACUGUGUUUUCAAAUCCGCAUUCGUUAGCUUUGGCAGCCACACCCAGUGUGUCACGUGGAGCUCUAUCCAAUGAAUGCUGAAAAACUGCUCGCACUCAGAAUACUGCCCGAAGUUCAUUAAUUUGCCUGUGAUUUUCCUUGCAUCCAGCCCAGAGAAGUUGCUGACAUAAACAGAUUUAAAAAAACUUCGUAGAACUUUAUGUUGAACUAAACUCCUAGCUUCUAAAUGGACUGGUCCUGACCUGUACGACAUUUAUGAACUUGUAGAUAGCAGAACGUAUCUUCUAAAAAGUAAUUAGAAAGUUUAUGAAUUUAUUAAAGUUAUAUUCUUUGAGCUUUAACCUUAUUAUGAAAAGGCAUCUCAUUACUACAGCGAAGAGAUUUUCAGACAGCAAUAUUGGGAGUGCGAAAAUAAUUCAGUUUAGGGAGAAAUGAUUGCUUCAACAUUUAACCAGAUAUGGAUUGAACCAUAUAUGUUCCAUAUAUGGAACAACGUGGGCUUUGGAGUCAGACAGUCUUGGUUUUGAACAUUGUACACAGCCAUUCAUUCCAUCCCUUAUUCAUUCUAUAGUAUUUAACUGAUACCCAGUUACUGGGGACACAGUGGUAAACAAAACAGGCGUUUUACUGCCUCUGUGGACCUCAUAGUCUAGUGGGGGAAGUAGAUAGGAAAUAAAUGAUCGUAUAAUUAAAUAAUAGUUACAACUGGUGAUUACAUGAAGGCUAAGUGCUGGGUGCCAUGAAAUCAAAUACCACAAGGAGUAGUUUAGAUUGAGGCUCGGAAGGCCAAUUGGAGGACUGGAAGCCGGCCAUAAUGUGGUUGGGUAGAGCGAACCAGAGUAAGAGAGGUUGAGGGAGAAGGGUAGGGAGGGGGAGGAGAGGAGCCAGAAAAAUGAAGCUGUAAGGUUUGAUCAAAAUUUUUAUCCUUUUUGAAUCUAAAUUUAUUUUUUAUAGAAUGUGGAUAGUAGUAACUGCUUCAUGUAAUUGCUCUCGGAAUUAUGUAGCAUUAUACUUAAGUAAUGCUUAAUACAGACCUAGCAUAAUAAGUAUUUACUACCUAGUGGCUGUAAAUAUUAAUAAUAAUACCCUUCUGGAGUUUAAAUUCAGGUGUGGUGAUAAUAUCCACCUUAAAAAUGGAAAUAAGAGGGGCUGGUAGUUGCUUAAAGAGCUUCAGGGAAAAGUUCCACAUUUAUGCUAAUUUUAGAAAUGAGUUGUUUAUUACAGUCACAACUGAGGGAAAAAGGAAAACAAAACAUCUCAAUGUUUUCUAAUUAAUGAGUGAAUUUAAGUGACAUAUCAGCGAGGUUACAGAAUAUAGAUACUGAAGUUAUAGAUAGUUGAUUAAUGUAAUUUCCUGUAAUAUACAUCUAGUAUAUAAAAGCUUGAGAUCAAGCUUGGCUGUUUCUCAGGGCCUGACAAGCUUCUGAAGGCAGGAUGAGUUAAAGAAAUAAUUGCAGACUUAGUAGUUAAGAUAUUUUCAUAACAAGAUUCAGAAAGAUUACAAAUUAAGUAGGAACGGACCUUCAUCCUAACAAGGAUUAACACAUAAUUUUGGUUCCUUCAAGAUAAGCAUUUAAAAAUAUUUUAUACUUUUAUCCUUAUCUAAUAAUAUGUGGAUGGAUAAUUCAUGGCCUUUCCUCCCCAGUGUAUCUUGGUCAACUAUCUCCUCUUAUCUCCAGCUUCUUCUAAAGCUCAUGUCUCUGUUCUAGGUUGGUCUCUAGCCAAGGCUAAUUUAAAAAAAUAAGAGAUUUACUACUUUCUAUUUUUACAAGAAGUGAGUGAAAUUCCACCUAAACUUCUUCUAAGGGGCCAUUGUUUAGCCCUAGUAAAGUGUUAUUAUAAAUCAGUAAAUAAGUUCAUCUAGGUAUUUUUUUUGUAUUUUUAUUUAAUUCAUUUUUUAAAAAUUUGCAUCCAAGUUAGUUAGCAUAUAGUGCAACAAUGAUUUCAGGAGUAGAUUCCUUAAUGCUCUUACCCAUUUAGCCCACCUCCACUCCCACAACCCCUCCAGUAACCCUCUGUUCUCCAUAUGUAAGAGUCUCUUAUGUUUCAUCCCCCUCCCUGUUUUUAUGUUAUUUUUGCUUCCCUUCCCUUAUGUUCAUCUGUUUUGUUUCUUAAAAUCUUCAUGUGAAUGAAGUCAUAUGAUAAUUGUCUUUCUCUGACUAAUUUCACUUAGCAUAAUACCCUCUAGUUCCAUCCACGUAGUUGCAAAUGGCAAGAUUUCAUUCUUUUUGAUUGCUGACUAAUACUCCAUUGUAAUAUAUAUACCACCUCUUCUUUAUCCAUUCAUCCAUCGAUGGACAUUUGGGCUCUUUCCAUACUUCGGCUAUUGUUGAUAGUGCUGCUAUGAACAUGGGGGUGCAUGUGUCCCUUUGAAACAGCAUACCUGUAUCCCUUGGAUAAAUAUCUAGUAGUACAAUUGCUGGGUCAUAGGGUAGUUCUAUUUUUAAUUUUUCAAGGAACCUCCAUACUGUUGUCUAGAGUGGCUGCACCAGUUUGCAUUCCCACCAGCAGUGCAAAAGAGAUCCUCUUUCUCCACAUCCUCGCCAACAUCUGUCGUUGCCUGAGUUGUUAAUGUUAGCUGUUCUGACAGGUGUGAGAUGGUAUUCUCAUUGUGGUUUUGAUUUGUAUUUCCCUGAUGAUGAGUGAUGUUGAGCAUUUUUUCAUGUGUCUGUUGGCCCUCUGAAUGUCUUCUUUGGAGAAGUGUCUUUUCAUGUCUUUUGCCCAUUUCUUCACUGGAUUAUUUGUUUUUUUGGGUGUUGAGUUUGAUAAGUUCUCUAUAGAUUUUGGAUACUAACCCUUUAUCUGAUAUGUCAUUUGCAAAUAUCUUCUCCCAUCCUGUCAGUUGCCUUUUAGUUUUGCUGAUUGUUCCCUUUGCUGUGCAGAAGUUUUUAUUUUGAUGAGAUCCCAAUAGUUCAUUUUUGCUUUUGUUUCCCUUGCCUCUGGAGACGUGUUGAGUAAGAAGUUGCGGUAGUCAAGGUCAAAGAGGUUUUUGCCUGCUUUCUCCUCGAGGAUUUUGAUGGCUUCCUGUCUUACAUUUAGGUCUCUCAUCCAUUUUGAGUUUAUUUUUGUGUCUGGUGUAAGAAAGUGGUCCAGGUUCAUUUUUCUGCAUGUUGCCGUCCAGUUUUCCCAGCACCACUUGCUGAAGAGACUGUCUUUAUUCUAUUGGAUCUUCUUUCCUGCUUUGUCAAAGAUUAGUUGCCCAUGUGUUUGUGGGUCCAUUUCUGGGUUCUCUGUUCCAUUGAUCUGAGUGUCUGUUCUUAUGCCAGUACCAUACUGUCUUGAUGAUUACAGCUUGAAGUCCGGGAUUGUGAUGCCUCCUGCUUUGAUUUUCCUUUUCCAAGAUUGUUUUGACUAUUUGGGGUCUUUUCUGGUUCCAUACAAAUUUUAGGAUUGUUUGUUCUAGCUCUGUGAAGAAUGCUGGUGUUAUUUUGAUAGGUAUUGCAUGGAAUAUGCAGAUUGCUUUGGGUAGGAUUGACAUUUUAACAACAUGGAGCAUGGAAUAUUUUUCCAUUUUUUGGUGUCUUCAAUUUCUUUCAUAAGCUUCCUAUAGUUUUCAGUGUAUAGAUUUUUCACCUCUUUGGCUAGAUUUAUUCCUAGGUAUUUUAUGGUUUCUGGUGUCAUCUAGGUAUUUUUAUGUUUGAUAGGCUACCCUUAAAGAUGUGAACAAAGAGAAGAAGCCUUGCCUUUCUCUUUGUCCGUUUACUCCUCCAUCCAUUCAUUUAUUCAACAGAUAUUGAGUAGUUAUCCAUUCAGUAGACGUUUAUGGAGGUGUUCAUCAUAUCCUAGGAAAGGUACAUGGUGCUAGGGAUACAAAUAUAAUUGAUUUCUAGAUUCUGCCUUGAAACCCACAACCUUGUAGCCAAAUCAUUCAUUCAUUCAUUUAUUAAUACUGUAUAUGUAUUUCACAAGUGCCUACUCUGUGCCUGGCACUGUUGUAGACACUGGGGACACAGUGCUGAAAAACAGACAUAGGGUCUGCCCUGGUGGAGCUUUUAUUCAAGUGGUGUACCGAAAAAUGAGUGUAGAAGGUAAGGGCUCUGUUCCCCAAACUGGCCUGGUGGCUGUGUGGGGUGCACAAAAUUAUUUAGGAGAGUUUUAGGAAGAAAAUAUUUCAAUUUUUAUUUAUCUUAAUCUCAUUUUACUUUAUUUAUAUUUUGUGUAUAUUUGGUAAUGUACUUAAUCUGUAUAGUACUUUAUAUCAUUUAUGUGUAAUAAAUAUUUAAAUUUGUUCCAUCAGUUCAUACUGAUAGGUUGCAUAAACAAAAACAUUUGCAGACCCCCGGAGGAAGGCAUGGAUUUAGCAUUAGAUAGCCUUACAAGUUUGAAGUCAGUUUCCAUCACUCGCUAUUUGUGGGUCCUUGGGCAGGCCAGAGCUCUUGCAUCCUUUGCCAGAAGUGUUGUCAGGAUUGACUGCAAUAGUGUUAGUGGAGUGCUCAUAUUGUGUCUGUUUAUAUCAAGUCCUCAACAAAGUGAUAACUGAUGUUACCAUUGUUAUUAUUCAUGUGAUAAAUAAAUGCAGGCAUCUUCAAAGUGAUACAGAAACAUCCGAGAAGGAACUAGUUAAGCUGUCACCCUAGAGCCAUGAAACUAUUAUAAUAGAUAAUUGCUGGGAAUAUAAGUUGGUGCUACUUGUACGCAAUAUGUACCCAAAUCCUUAAAUUUGUAAUUUAUAUUGACCCAAUUAUUUUCCUUCCAGGAAUUUAUCCUAAGGGAACAAUCAGAAAUUCUAACAGAUUUAUAAUAGUGACAGAUAGGAGAGAGAACUAAAUGCCCAUAUAAAAAAUAGUCAGGUUUAAUUACAACUUUAUGAUGGAAUAUUGUGCAGCUUUUAGUAUUUUUAUUUUUUAUUUACCUUUUUAAUGUUUUAUUUAUUUUUGAGAGAGACAGAGUGUGAGCAGGGGAAGGGAAGAGAGAAAGGGAGACACAGAAUCGGAAGCAGGCUCCAGGCUCUGAGCCGUCAGCACAGAGCCCGAUGUAGGGCUCGAACCCACGGACCAGACCAUGAGAUCAUGACCUGAGCUGAAGUCAGACACUUACCUGACUGAGCCACCCAGGUACCCCCAGCUUUUAAUAUUUUUAAAGAAUAUUUGGGGAAACAUUAAUAUUUAGUGAUGGAUGUAGGAUACAAAAUUACAGUUUUAGUGUAAUCCCAAUUACAUUUUUUUUUUUUAAAGCACACAGUUUAAUUAAAUGGUGUUGGGAAAACUAGACAGCUACAUGCAAAGGAAUGAAACCAGACCACUUUCUUACACCAUACACAAAAAUAAACUCCAAAUGGAUAAAAGACCUACAGGUAAGACUUGAAUCCAUAAAACUUCUAAAAGUAAACAUAGGUAGUAAUCUCUUGAACAUCGGCCUUAGCUACAUAUUUAUGGAUAUGUCUCUGCAGGCACAAGAAACAAAAGCAAAAAUAAACUAUUGAGCUUAACACCAGAUUAAGCUCUCGUACAGCAAAGGAAACUAACAAAAUGAAAAAGCAACCUACUAAAAGGGAGAAGAUAUUUUUAAAUGACAUAGUGGUUAAAAGGUUAGCAUCCAAAAUAUAUAAAGAACUUAUACACCUCAACACCAAAAAAACAAAUAAUCUAAUUAAGAAAUGGGCAGAAGACAUACAGAUAUUUCUCCAAAGAAGACACACAGAUGGCCAACAGACACAUGAAAAGAUGCUCAACAUCACUUUUCAUCAGGGAACUGCAAAUCAAAACUACAAGAAGAUCACCUCACACCUGUCGAAUGGCUAAAAUAAAAAAUACAAAAAACCCACAAGUGUUAGCAAGGAUGUGGAGCAAAGGAAACUCUCUUGUACUGUUGGUGGGAAUAUAAAUUGGUACAGCCACUGUGGAAAACAGUAUGAAGGUUACUCAAGAAAUUAAAAAUAGAACUACCCUAUGACCUAGGAAUCACACUACUGGGUAUUUACCCAAAGAAUACAAAAACACGAAUUCAAAAGGAUAUAUGCACCCCUGUGUUUAUUGCAGCAUUAUUUAUAAUAGCCAAAUUAUAGAAGCAGCCUGUUUCUAUUGAUAGAUGAAUGGAUAAAGAAGAUGUGGUACAUGUAAAGUGGGAUAUUAUUCAGCCAUCAAAAAGAAUGAAAUCUUGACACUUGCAACAAUAUAGACGGAGCUAGAAAAUAUAGCACUAAGUAUGUCAGAGAAAAACAGAUACCUUAUGAUUUCACUCAUAUGUGGAAUUUAAGAAACAAAAAAAAAAGACAAUCCAAAAAAGUCUCUUAAUUACAGAGAACAAACAGAUGGUCACCAGAGGGUAGGUGAGUGGGGGAUGGGGAUGGGUGAAAUGGGUGAAGGGCAUUAACCGAACACUUAUUGUGGAGCGCCUGGCUGGCUCAGUUGGUGGAGCAUGUGACUCCUGAUCUCAGGUUGUGAGGUCAAGCCCCACAUUGAGUGUAGAGAUCACUUAAAAUUAAAAUCUAAAACAAACACAAAAAAGAGUAUACCAGGAGCACCUGGGUGGCUCAGUCAGUUAAAUGUCCGACUUUGGCUCAGGUCAUGAUCUCACGGUUCGUGAGUUCAAACUCUGCAUCGGGCUCUCUGCUGUCAGUGCAGGGCUUGCUUUGGAUCCUCUGUCCCCCUCUCUCUGCUUCUCCCCACUCUCUCUUUCUCUCUCUGCCCCUCCCUAGCUCACAUGCACUCCCUCUCUCUUUCUCAAAGACGAAUAAACAUUAAAACAUUUUUUUGAACAUUUAUUCAUUUUUGAGAGUGAGAGAGACAGAGCAUGAGUAGGGCAGGGGCAGAGAGAGGGAGACACAGAAUCCAAAGCAGGCUUCAGGCUCCGAGCUGUCAGCAAAGAGCCUGAUGUGGGGCUUGAACGCAUUAACUGUGAGAUCAUGACUUGAGCUGAAGUUGGAUGCUUAACUGACUGAGCCACCAGGCGCCCCAAAUAAACAUUUUUCAAAAAAUUAAAAAAAAGUGUACUUACCAUGGUGAGCAUUGAGUAAUGUAUAGAAUUGUUGAAUCACUAUAUUGUACACUUGAAACUAAUAUAAUACUGUCUAUUAACUAUACUGGAAUAAAAAAUAAA